CCUAAAUAUUGUUACCAACCGAUAAAAUUGGAACGAAACAGAGAAGAUUAGCAUGGCCCCUACAUAAGAAUGAUACGCACAAAAAAAAAAAAAAAAAAAAGGCU
rnacentral:snRNA from 1 species